GUACUGUUGAAGAGUCCUAAAUCAGGACGAAAAACAGCCGUCCAGUAC
rnacentral:hammerhead_ribozyme from 1 species